GAUGAACGCUGGCGGCGUGCCUAAUACAUGCAAGUCGAGCGAACGGACGAGAAGCUUGCUUUUCUGAUGUUAGCGGCGGACGGGUGAGUAACACGUGGAUAACCUACCUAUAAUACUGGGAUAACUUCGGGAAACCGGAGCUAAUACCGGAUAAUCUUUUGAACCGCAUUGUUCAAUAGUGAAAGACGGUCUUUCUGUCACUUAUAGAUGGAUCCCGGCUGCAUUAGAUAGUUGGUAAUGUAACGGCUUUUCAAGGGAACUAUGGCUAAACGAACGCAGAGGGGGAUAGGCCGCACAGGAACUGAGACACGGUCAAGAGUACUUAGAGAGGGCGCAGUAGGCAAUCUUACGCAAUGGGGGAAAGCCUUACGGAGCAACGCCGCGUGAGUGGUGACAGUCUUAGGAGCGGAAAAAUCUGUUAUGAGGGAAGAACAUCUGUGGAAGUAACUGGAGAGAGAUUGACGGUAACCGAUCAGAAAGCCACGGCUAACUACGUG
rnacentral:rRNA from 1 species